UGGGGAAUAUUGCACAAUGGGCGCAAGCCUGAUGCAGCCAUGCCGCGUGUGUGAAGAAGGCCUUCGGGUUGUAAAGCACUUUCAGCGAGGAGGAAGGUGGUGAACUUAAUACGUUCAUCAAUUGACGUUACUCGCAGAAGAAGCACCGGCUAACUCCGUGCCAGCAGCCGCGGUAAUACGGAGGGUGCAAGCGUUAAUCGGAAUUACUGGGCGUAAAGCGCACGCAGGCGGUUUGUUAAGUCAGAUGUGAAAUCCCCGGGCUCAACCUGGGAACUGCAUUUGAAGCUGGCAAGCUAGAGUCUCGUAGAGGGGGGUAGAAUUCCAGGUGUAGCGGUGAAAUGCGUAGAGAUCUGGAGGAAUACCGGUGGCGAAGGCGGCCCCCUGGACGAAGACUGACGCUCAGGUGCGAAAGCGUGGGGAGCAAACAGGAUUAGAUACCCCUGGUAGUCCACGCUGUAAACGAUGUCGAUUUGGAGGUUGUGCCCUUGAGGCGUGGCUUCCGGAGCUAACGCGUUAAAUCGACCGCC
rnacentral:rRNA from 1 species